rnacentral:rRNA from 1 species
CGUAUGAUGUCGAAAGGCCAAAGAUUUAUCGCCUAAGGAUGAGCCCGCGUAAGAUUAGCUUGUUGGUGAGGUAAAAGCUCACCAAGGCGACGAUCUUUAGCUGGUCUGAGAGGAUGAUCAGCCACACUGGGACUGAGACACGGCCCAGACUCCUACGGGAGGCAGCAGUGGGGAAUAUUGGACAAUGGGCGAAAGCCUGAUCCAGCAAUGCCGCGUGAGUGAUGAAGGCCUUAGGGUUGUAAAGCUCUUUUACCAGGGAUGAUAAUGACAGUACCUGGAGAAUAAGCUCCGGCUAACUCCGUGCCAGCAGCCGCGGUAAUACGGAGGGAGCUAGCGUUGUUCGGAAUUACUGGGCGUAAAGAGUACGUAGGCGGUGAUUCAAGUCAGAGGUGAAAGCCUGGUGCUCAACUCCAGAACUGCCUUUGAAACUAGAUCGCUAGAAUUGUGGAGAGGUUAGUGGAAUUCCGAGUGUAGAGGUGAAAUUCGUAGAUAUUCGGAAGAACACCAGUGGCGAAGGCGACUAACUGGACACAUAUUGACGCUGAGGUACGAAAGCGUGGGGAGCAAACAGGAUUAGAU